ACUACGGGCGGCAGCAGUGGGGAAUAUUGGACAAUGGGGGGAACCCUGAUCCAGCCAUGCCGCGUGUGUGAAGAAGGCCCUCGGGUUGUAAAGCACUUUCAGUGAGGAAGAACGCCUGGUGGUUAAUACCCAUCAGGAAAGACAUCACUCACAGAAGAAGCACCGGCUAACUCCGUGCCAGCAGCCGCGGUAAUACGGAGGGUGCGAGCGUUAAUCGGAAUUACUGGGCGUAAAGCGCGCGUAGGUGGCUUGAUAAGCCGGUUGUGAAAGCCCCGGGCUCAACCUGGGAACGGCAUCCGGAACUGUCAAGCUAGAGUGCAGGAGAGGAAGGUAGAAUUCCCGGUGUAGCGGUGAAAUGCGUAGAGAUCGGGAGGAAUACCAGUGGCGAAGGCGGCCUUCUGGACUGACACUGACACUGAGGUGCGAAAGCGUGGGUAGCAAACAGGAUUAGAUACCCGUGUAGUC
rnacentral:rRNA from 1 species